rnacentral:rRNA from 1 species
UACGAAGGGGGCUAGCGUUGCUCGGAAUCACUGGGCGUAAAGCGCACGUAGGCGGAUCUUUAAGUCAGGGGUGAAAUCCUGGAGCUCAACUCCAGAACUGCCUUUGAUACUGGGGAUCUCGAGUCCGGAAGAGGUGAGUGGAACUCCGUGUGUAGAGGUGAAAUUCGUAGAUAUUCGGAAGAACACCAGUGGCGAAGGCGGCUCACUGGUCCGGUACUGACGCUGAGGUGCGAAAGCGUGGGGAGCAAACAGG